AUUGAACGCUGGCGGAAUGCUUUACACAUGCAAGUCGAACGGCAGCACGGACUUCGGUCUGGUGGCGAGUGGCGAACGGGUGAGUAAUGUAUCGGAACGUGCCCAGUCGUGGGGGAUAACGUAGUGAAAAUUACGCUAAUACCGCAUACGAUCUAUGGAUGAAAGCGGGGGAUCGCAAGACCUCGCGCGAUUGGAGCGGCCGAUAUCAGAUUAGGUAGUUGGUGGGGUAAAGGCCCACCAAGCCAACGAUCUGUAGCUGGUCUGAGAGGACGACCAGACACACUGGAACUGAGACACGGUCCAGACUCCUACGGGAGGCAGCAGUGGGGAAUUUUGGACAGUGGGCGAAAGCCUGAUCCAGCCAUUCCGCGUGCAGGAUGAAGGCCCUCGGGUCGUAAACUGCUUUUGUACAGAACGAAAAGGUUUCUACUAAUACUAGGAGCUCAUGACGGUACUGUAAGAAUAAGCACCGGCUAACUACGUGCCAGCCGCCGCCGUAA
rnacentral:rRNA from 1 species